GACGAACGCUGGCGGCGUGCUUAACACAUGCAAGUCGAACGGUGAAGCGCCUUCCUUUUUGGUGGGUGUGGAUGUGUGGCGAACGGGUGAGUAACACGUGAGUAACCUGCCCCCUUCUUCUGGAUAACCGCAUGAAAGUGUGGCUAAUACGGGAUAUUCUGGUUCUGUCGCAUGAUGGGUCUGGGAAAGAUAUUGUUUCGGUGGGGGAUGGGCUCGCGGCCUAUCAGCUUGUUGGUGGGGUGAUGGCCUACCAAGGCGGUGACGGGUAGCCGGCCUGAGAGGGUGGACGGUCACACUGGGACUGAGACACGGACCAGACUGCUACGGGAGGCAGCAGUGGGGAAUAUUGCACAAUGGGCGAAAGCCUGAUGCAGCGACGCCGCGGGAGGGAUGGAGGCCUUCGGGUUGUGAACCUCUUUCGCCAGUGAAGCAGGCCUGCCUCGUUUGUGGGUGGGUUGACGGUAGCUGGAUAAGAAGCGCCGGCUAACUACGUG
rnacentral:rRNA from 1 species